rnacentral:rRNA from 1 species
GACGAACCGUGCAAACGUUGUUCGGAUUCACUGGGCUUAAAGGGCGCGUGGGCGGAUGACCAAGUCAGGGGUGAAAUCUUUCGGCUCAACCGGAAACGUGCCCCUGAUACUGGUUGUCUUGAGGGGGGUAGGGGCGGAUGGAACUUCCGGUGGAGCGGUGAAAUGCGUAGAUAUCGGAAGGAACGCCGGUGGCGAAAGCGAUCCGCUGGACCCCUUCUGACGCUGAUGCGCGAAAGCCAGGGGAGCAAACGGG